rnacentral:rRNA from 1 species
GAUGAACGCUGGCGGCGUGCCUAAUACAUGCAAGUCGAGCGAACGGAUGCGGAGCUUGCUCCUCUGACGUUAGCGGCGGACGGGUGAGUAACACGUGGAUAACCUACCUAUAAGACUGGGAUCACUUCGGGAAACCGGAGCUAAUACCGGAUAAUAUAUUGAACCGCAUGGUUCAAUAGUGAAAGACGGUUUUGCUGUCACUUAUAGCUGGAUCCGCGCCGCAUUAGCUAGUUGGUAAGGUAACGGCUUACCAAGGCAACGAUGCGUAGCCGACCUCAGAGGGUGAUCGGCCACACGGGAACUGAGACACGGUCCAGGCUCCUACGGGAGGCAGCAGUAGGGAAUCGUCCGCAAUGGGCGAAAGCCUGACGGAGCAACGCCGCGUGAGUGAUGAAGGUCUUCGGAUCGUAAAACUCUGUUAUUAGGGAAGAACAAAUGUGUAAGUAACUAUGCACGUCUUGACGGUACCUAAUCAGAAAGCCACGGCUAACUACGUG